GAAAUUAUAAACACAAAUUAAAGUUUUAGAAUAAACAAAAUUGAAAUUAACCUAAUCUCCUUUUGAUAGAUUUUAGGUGAAAUUUGAUAGAAGCCGAGUGAUGUGCCUUUUCGGUAUUUUUGGUCUCUUUUUUAUUGUAUGUAACCUUGUGCUGCUGAAUGAAUUUAUUUUACUUUUAAAUUAUAGUGUUCAAUUCAAACUUGAGUUUUUGUAAAAUUAACUGGUUUUAUCAUCCUUUCGAUGUUUUAUAAAAAAACAUCAAUGCAUCGAAUAGCAUCGGAUCUAUUCAAUGUCUCGCAUUGCGUUUAUCGAAUAUACCUAAUAUGUAGUUCAGGGUCCGGGUUAUAAAAGACCAGACAUUAUGUCGGGAGGUGGCAAAUGAAAAAUCGACUUGAUUUUCAAUUAUAAAAACAAUUGAUUAUUUUUAAUAUUAAAAUCGCGUACAAAAAUCAAUUUUUACUUUAAAAAAAAAUCGAUUUUAUUAGAUUUUUUCCAUAAUCGAUUAUUUUUUCACAUCCCUAAAUUGGAAUUUCGCUUUAUUCUGUGAUUCGUGAAUUCAUCACAAUUUUGUGUUUAAUAAAAAUAUUAUACAAUCUUUGAAUAAAACUCAAAUUUUUCAAUCUUAACGUGAUAUUUCAUGAGUAUUUAAUUAAAUUAAUUUAGUCUCCAUUACAAAAUGUUUCGCUUACCUUUUGGAGAAAGGGUUGAUCCCAUGGAAGAAAAACGUCAAGCAAGAGAAAAUACAGUCAAUAGUGUUAUAAGUUUUUGUAUCCUUUGUGCAGCCAUUCGUAUUGCACCCAUUAUUAUCGAACAGAGUGGACUAUAGUUUGACGGAUGGAAUGCAACACCAGGAACACUUUAAGAUGAUAACUAGGAAAUUUAAUAAAAAAGUAGUAAAUUA